rnacentral:rRNA from 1 species
UCCAGACUCCUACGGGAGGCAGCAGUGAGGAAUAUUGGUCAAUGGUCGGGAGACUGAACCAGCCAAGCCGCGUGAGGGAGGAAGGUACAGAGUAUCGUAAACCUCUUUUGUCAGGGAACAAAGACUGGGACGCGUCCCCGGAUGAGUGUACCUGAAGAAAAAGCAUCGGCUAACUCCGUGCCAGCAGCCGCGGUAAUACGGAGGAUGCGAGCGUUAUCCGGAUUUAUUGGGUUUAAAGGGUGCGCAGGCGGAGGUGCAAGUCAGCGGUCAAAUUGCGGGGCUCAACCCCGUACUGCCGUUGAAACUGGCGUUCUUGAGUGGGCGAGAAGUAUGCGGAAUGCGUGGUGUAGCGGUGAAAUGCAUAGAUAUCACGCAGAACUCCGAUUGCGAAGGCAGCGUACCGGCGCCCAACUGACGCUGAAGCACGAAGGCGUGGGUAUCGAACAGGAUUAGAUACCCCAGUAGU